rnacentral:lncRNA from 1 species
CUCUUUUUUACCACCAUACGUUUUACAGGGCAACAAGGUAAUGUAAAACAUGUUUAGAUGCUCCAAAAAGCAUGUGAAAACAUUGUAAUGACGAACAACUCCAUUUUCUUAACAACACUACUGUCCAAGAUAGAUUUUCUUCAGAUAAUCUAAUCCUCCAGUAUCGACACGUUCCAGAGCAAGCAUCAACCUGUAUAUUGUAGGUUUUACUUGUAUUGACGAUUUCCAUUUUCUCAAGAUAUCUGAAAUUUG